AGCUUUCAGUUGCCACUUCAGAGGGGCAAAGUCCGAAUACUUCUUAGGAAUUAUAACCCUGAUUGUUCCAGGCUGUUUCUCGGACAUUCACGUGUUUCCCUUAACUGGAGAAGACACCGCGGUGCAGUCGCCUCCCUUCUGGGACUGGAAGAUGAGAUAUUUUAGCGAUAAAGAAUGGCAAUCCAGCCUGAGAUGAGUUUCCCCGCUGUGGUGCAUCUCUUGAAUUUUAAACACAAGCUGUGUUUCUUCAAUCCUCAAGUUUAGUAGAAGUGACUGGCCCCUGAUUCCGAAUGCAUAUGUAUCCAAAGGCAGUAGAAAUGUGUGUGUGACCAAGAGUCAAGUUCUGAGCUUCUAUAAGAGGGAUGAGUGACUAGAAGUGACAAUGAACUCUUCUUCACCAAGGUGCUUCACGGGGCUGCCUUCUGGGAACCUUCAGUUGUGCAUUAGGCAAACAUUACAAAAGCACUGAUAAAAUUCUAAGUAAAAGGCAAGGAAAACCAUUCAUGAUUCCAUCGCCCCAAGAACAGUCAAGCUGUUUGCAGAUUUUCCUCACUCUCUUUUGCUCAGAGCCACGUGAAUAUACAACGUCACUGGCAUAAUUACAGCAGAGAGACAUUUUGCAUCCAUUUAUUCCCCUUGCACAUCAUAUGAGCCCUGAGCCAACUUCUAAGAAGUUUUCUGCCCUAAAGCCACAGUGCUGGAGAGAGAGAGAGAGGAUGUGCCAAGAAUACACAGCCAUAGAGGUGCCCUGGGACGCCACGAGUCCUCCCAGCAUGUACCAUGGACACGAGAGGGAGCUUUCAGAUGAUUCCAUGUUCCAGCCUUGAAGAUGCUCCAGCCAAUACCCAGUGGAACAGGGAUAAGUUGAUCCCACCAAGCUUUACCUCAAAUGCAGAUUCAGGAGCAAAAUAAAUGUUGUUGGUUUAAAUCACUAAGCUCAGGCUGCUUAGUCACACAGUCACCCAGUAAUGAGUGGAACACAUUUAACUUGCAGGUGGGGACUUCUUCAACCCCAUCCAUUUGCAUAUAUUGCAAACAUUUCCCAAAAUGCCUGGGCUUUCAAGUUACCCUUCCCUGGUUCAUAUGAUAUUUUCUUUAAUAUAUUUUUUAUUUCUUAUUCAUAUAAAAAUAUUUUUUUUAUUCUCAUUGCUCAUUUUAUUAAAAUUGUAGGUAAAGAGGAAAA
rnacentral:lncRNA from 1 species